rnacentral:rRNA from 1 species
ACUCAAAUGAAUUGACGGGGGCCCGCACAAGCAGCGGAGCGUGUGGUUUAAUUCGAGGCUACACGAAGAACCUUACCUAGAUUUGACAUGCAGGUGGUAGAACGGUGAAAGCCGAACGACCUUCGGGAGCCUGCACAGGUGCUGCAUGGCUGUCGUCAGCUCGUGCCGUGAGGUGUUAGGUUAAGUCCUGUAACGAGCGCAACCCCCGACCUUAGUUACACGGUGUCUAAGGUGACUGCCCGCGACAAGCGGGAGGAAGGUGGGGAUGAUGUCAAGUCAGCAUGGCCUUUAUAUCUAGGGCUACACACACGCUACAAUGGUCGGUACAAUGGGUCGCUAAGCCGCAAGGUGGCGCUAAUCCUACCAAAGCCGAUCUCAGUUCGGAUUGUGGGCUGCAACCCGCCCACAUGAAGUUGGAGUUGCUAGUAACCGCGCGUCAGCUAUAGUGCGGUGAAUACGUUCCCGGGCCUUGUACACACCGCCCGU